UUCUCUUGAGAGCGGCGGACGGGUGAGUAAUCCCUAGGAAUCUGCCUGGUAGUGGGGGAUAACGUUCGGAAACGGACGCUAAUACCGCAUACGUCCUACGGGAGAAAGCAGGGGACCUUCGGGCCUUGCGCCAUCAGAUGAGCCUAGGUCGGAUUAGCUAGUUGGUGAGGUAAUGGCUCACCAAGGCUACGAUCCGUAACUGGUCUGAGAGGAUGAUCAGUCACACUGGUAACUGAGACACGGUCCAGACUCCUACGGGCAGGCAGCAGUGGGGAAUAUUGGACAAUGGGCGAAAGCCUGAUCCAGCCAUGCCGCGUGUGUGAAGAAGGUCUUCGGAUUGUAAAGCACUUUAAGUUGGGAGGAAGGGCAGUUACCUAAUACGUGAUUGUUUUGACGUUACCGACAGAAUAAGCACCGGCUAACUCUGUGCCAGCAGCCGCG
rnacentral:rRNA from 1 species